GAUGAACGCUGGCGGUAUGCUUAACACAUGCAAGUCGAACGGACUCUUCGGAGUUAGUGGCGGACGGGUGAGUAACGCGUGAGAAUCUGGCUUUGGGUUCGGGACAACCACUGGAAACGGUGGCUAAUACCGGAUGUGCCGAGAGGUAAAAGAGAAAUUGCCUGAAGAUGAGCUCGCGUCUGAUUAGCUAGUUGGUGAGGUAAAGGCUCACCAAGGCAGCGAUCAGUAGCUGGUCUGAUAGGAUGACCAGCCACACUGGGACUGAGACACGGCCCAGACUCCUACGGGAGGCAGCAGUGGGGAAUUUUCCGCAAUGGUCGAAAGCCUGACGGAGCAAUACCGCGUGAGGGAAGAAGGCUCUUGGGUUGUAAACCUCUUUUCUUAGGGAAGAACAAAAUGACGGUACCUAAGGAAUCAGCAUCGGCUAACUCCGUG
rnacentral:rRNA from 1 species